UUAAAAAUAUCUCCUUCUGAGGUUGCUGUGGUGAAACACGCCAAAAUGUUUUUAUUCUCCGCGCCGUGGACCUUCUCUAUGAUAUACUACGUUCUCUGAUGGAAUUUUAUUGGUUUAUUGCUUAAUGGCGAUUUGUGGGCGAGGCGGUAAUUUCCCUUUCUGAACAACGCCAACAAAACGUAAAGGGGCUAAUUUGAUCCCUUUGAGUAGGUCCGGAAGCAUGCGAAAUAGAGGUGCCGAAAGAACCGCAGAACAAAUCCAGCAACAAAAUACUGGUGCUCUACUUUUUUGCCUUGCUCCACUAUCAGGAAUAAUCGCUGUCCGCUGUUCUGUUGUGAAUCUUGCUGAAUUCGCCACCGUCCGUUUUUUCAGGAUCUGCUGUUGAUUUCCCAGUUAAUUUUUACAUAAAGWACAACCAGCUGCAUCGUCGACGUGCUGGACGCUCCAUUGAAUGAGCGCAAUGAAAUGUAGAAAAUAUUCGAAUCACACAUGCACAAAUAACAAAGCGAUAAUCACGCCAAUGUCAUUAAUCUUGAUAAAACACCCACUGGAGAGCAAGACGACGCUGCUGGAAUAAUCGUUGGUUUUCGUAUAGGUACACGAGAAAUUGUGAUUCGCAGAUGAAAUAAUAAUCUUACGUUCGUUGCUGAUAUACACCGUUUAUAUGUCAAUCUCCAAUAUCCGCUAAUAUUUUGGAAGGGACAAUACGGAUAUUGCAUAAAUACAUAUUCAACAACGAGAUACCGUAUUACGUAUUUCAUUAACUAAGAACUUUGAAAAAAAUUUUUAAAAAGCUCCCGACGCUCUACUUCUAAUUCGGCGACGAAUUCUACAGAAAACGUAAGAAAUUAAAUAUUGACUUAGAACAAAUUAGCGCCAUACGUCAGUACCUUUUGUUAAUUUUGUGUGUGUCCUCAUAUGUGUUGUAUUAGUAUUGGUGACCGUGUGAUGUGGAAUGUGUGCUGUGUAUGAAAAUAGCAGAACUCUCCUAUUUUGACUUGAUGACGGGGUGGUUUAUAUGAUGGCGUGAAACGUGAUGACGAGGUGGUGUUACGAUGUGUGUAAUGUGUGAUGAAGAGUUCUUUUUUUUUUUGUUUUGUUUCCGAAGGAAGAAUCUUCUAAAGAUACUGCCACGAGACUGGUAGCAGGCAGGAUUUAUAUUGUCCGCUAGAAUAUACCUCUUUCGGGACCACGCCCAGACAGUWAUAAAUAACUCUGCUGUACUUGCGAAACAGUACUAAAUCCUUAACUCCGCUGUAGCUUGUAUUCGGGUCUGCGGGGCCGCCGUUGAGCAUUACUUCGCAGGACCAAGCUGGGCGAUAACUGCCUCUUUAUGAACUACCUGUAGGGUUAUUCAUUUGGUCCUAUUAUUCUGCGCUGCCUUUCUUUAACUCUGAGUUCUUGGAGCGCCAUUACAGCCCAUUCUUUCAUUUAAGCCCACACCAGCUGUGAUCGCAGCAUGUGGCUCACUAUGUUGUCGGGCGUCAUCCUUUCACUGCAUACCUCGAACAGGAGAAAAGAAGUACUCUGCGUUUUCUGCGGCAUUUCCGCAGAAGGAACAUUGUGUUUCGUCAUCGUGGAGAAAUUUGUACAGGUAUUCCCUGAAACAGCCAUGGCCCGAUAAGAACUGCGUUAAGUAGAAACCUGUCUCCCCGUGUUGUCUGUCAAUCCAGGCCGCUCCAUUCUUAAUUAGUCUAUAWGUCGAUCUUCCUGUAUCUGCCGCAUCCCAUUGCUUUUACCACUCAUCGAGAUUUGUCUUCCUCUCCUAUUUCCGCUCGUCAGCCGGUUGGCGCUUAUUCAUGGCUUUUGUUUUACAGUAAACUCUACUUAACUCAUAGGCCACUAUAUCCGGUKKCAUAAGACCAGAUAUGAUAGCACUCGCCUCAUGCGACACGGUUCUAAACGUACAGUCAACUGGAAGGGCGCAUAACCUUAACACRGCCUUUGCCAUAUUGACAGGUUUUUUGACGAAGCGCUGUUCCCC